rnacentral:lncRNA from 1 species
AAAUGUCUACAGCCCAGUCAGCUGCCCGUGAUUUGCAUCACGUUCAUGCGCUCGAGUUUGGAGACGACCAGAAGGCGCCAAAGCGUAUCUUUAGUUUGCAGGUGUACAAUGAAAUUAAACUGGACGUGGAUGCAGGUCAUGAAUUCAUAUCAGCAAGAUAUUGGGGAUCUGCAGCUCAGUGAUCCAUCACCCUCGUAUUUGUGUGUUAGAACAUUACAGCGAGCGGACCAGAGUGUCGCUGGUUUAAAUCCCAAGUCUGAUGGGAAACUAAUUGAGUGUGAUUCUAGCCAAGCUCCAUGGCAACCCUAUAACACCCAGCAGACCUCCACGCCACCACUGUCCCCACCACCCAAUAAUCCCCUCAUGGUCUGUCUCCAUCCUAAAACAAGUGGAGAAGUUCCACAGUGACAGGUUUACAGUCAUCAAAGCACAUAUGUAACCUCUCUACUCUCCAGGGUCUGAGAAUACCUUGUUUUUUUUACAGCCACAGGCAAUAGAGAGCUUAUCUUAAAAAAGGGUAUCUCACAACCUUUAUGUCCAUGUGGACAGUAUCAGAUAUGCAUAAUCUAUAUUAUAUUACCUCCAAUCUACAUUAUAUGACCCUUUGUUUAAACUGUGAUGUUCUUGUCUACUCAUCUUAUGUACUAUGUCAUGUUUUAAUGUUUUGUGUGGAUCCCCAGAAAGUGUAGCUGGUGCUUUAGCCGUAGCUAAUGGGGGAUGCCAAAAUAAAUGUUGUUAGAUUGGGUUGGGUUUGUAGCCAGUAAACAAAGGAUGUGUUUUUGAUUUAGAUUUCUCAGUUUUUCUAGACUGACAAGAUAUUGAGAUGUUGAAAGAGGACGUGGGUCCAUGCAUCCCAACUGUACAGGUAGGAAUAAAGGUGUGUGUUAGUGCAUGGCCAUACUGUAGGGCCUUCAUAACCCUUGAUUUAUUCAACAUGUUGUUGUGUUACAACCUGAAUUCAAAAUGGAUAAAAUUAAGUGUUUCUUUCUCACCCAACUACACAUAAUACCCCAUAAUGAUGAAGUAAAAACAUGUUUUUAGACAUUUUUGCAAAUUUAUUGAAAAUUAAACAUCGAAAUAUCUAUUUUACGUAAGUAUUCACACCCCUGAGUCAAUACUUUGUAGAAGCACCCUUGGCAGUGAUUACAGCUGUGAGUCUUUCUAGGUUAGUCUCUAUGAGCAUUCCACACCUGAAUUGUACAAUAUUUGCACAUUAUUCUGAAACAAAUUCUUAAAACACUGUCAAGUUGGUUGUUGAUCAAUGCUAGACAGCCAUUUGCAAGUCUUGCCAUAGAUUUUCAAAGCUAUAUAAGUCAAAACUGUAACUAGGCCACUCAGGAACAUUCAAUGCCGUCUUGGUAAGAUGUUCCAGUGUAUAUUUUGCCUUGUGUUUUAGGCUAUUGUCCUGCUGAAAGGUGAUUUUCUGUGAAUAACUCUAUUGUUUAUUUUUAUCCUGAAAAACUCCCUAGUCCUUGCCGAUGACAAGCAUACGCAUAACAUGAUCCAUGUGUUGUGUUCUUAAAACAUGAUUCCAAUUUUACAUUAUGUGGUAUUGUGUGUAGGCCAGUGACACCAAAUCUCAAUUUAAUCUAUCCAAAAUGUGUAAAAAGUCAAGGCGUGUGAAUACUUUCUGAAGGCACUGUAUAUUAAGCAGCUCUUUACGGCCAAAUGAGUGGGUCGGUGGGAUUGAGGCCCAGUUCCCCUCAACCCGACCGUGUCCAGCUCCAAUGCAGAUAUAAGAAAGAUGAAAGAUGGGGAGGGAGUGAGAGAGAGGUAAAGAAAGCGAGCGAGAGAGGGUGAGAGGGAAGGAGGGGAGAGAGACAGAGAAUGCCUUUCAAAACCCUCCAUAUGACUGACAGAAAAGUAUGUACGGCAUAGCGUUGGCUGUGAGUAAUGUCACAUCACUAAAUCACGGUACAUCCUAGCAGACGCUCGCCGUGAUGCCGGGGUCGCAAAUUAUCAUGAUGCAUUAUUACACUGAGUGCAACACAGUAUCACGGUGUCUUCCAAAUUACACCUGAGCGAUGAGCUUAUCUUAUUAAUUAAUCAUGCUAAUAUAUACGUCCUCAACCGCAGUUUCGUUUUUUUUCUGAGUCGAAGCAAGCCGUGUAAUAUAACACCCAUUCACCGCAAACCCAGAUGUUAAUUUCUAUAAAGAACAAACAAACAAAAAAUAUCAACUUUAAGUAUCAAGAUUUGUUCUCACCACAAGAUUAAUUAAGAAGUUUGAGGUUUAAUUCUCCCAUGACUAGCAUCUAUUUUCAGUCCUGUGCUCUGGGAGCCACAGCAAUAGAUUUGUCACAGAGCAGAUGUUGUGUAGUGCAGCUUUCUGGGAUGCAAUGUCAGUCAAGGGCUUCUGGUGGGGAGACAGGGGGACAGGUAAGGGGGAAGAGAGGUACAUAUACUGAACACAAAUAUAAAUGCAAAAUGCAACAAUUUCAAUGAUAUUACUGAGUUACAGUUCAUAAGGAAAUCAGUCAAUUUCAAUAAAUUAAUUAGGCCCUAAUUUUAUUUAUUUAUUUCACCUUUAUUUAACCAGGUAGGCAAGUUGAGAACAAGUUCUCAUUUACAAUUGCGACCUGGCCAAGAUAAAGCAAAGCAGUUCGACACAUACAACGACACAGAGUUACACAUGGAGUAAAACAAACAUACAGUCAAUAAUACAGUAUAAACAAGUCUAUAUACGAUGUGAGCAAAUGAGGUGAGAUAAGGGAGGUAAAGGCAAAAAGGCCAUCGUGGCAAAGUAGAUACAAUAUAGCAAGUAAAACACUGGAAUGGUAGAUUUGCAAUGGGAGAAUGUGCAAAGUAGAAAUAAAAAUAAU